rnacentral:rRNA from 1 species
UACGUAGGGUGCAAGCGUUUAUCCGGAAUUAUUGGGCGUAAAGAGCUCGUAGGCGGUUUGUCGCGUCUGCUGUGAAAACUGGGGGCGUCAACCCCCAGCCCUGCAGUGGGUACGGGGCAGGCUAGAGUGCGGUAGGGGAGAGUUGGAAUUCCUGGUGUAGCGGUGGAAUGCGCAGAUAUCAGGAGGAACACCGAUGGGCGAAGGCAGAUCUCUGGGCCGUGAACUGACGCUGAGGAGCGAAAGCAUGGGGAGCGAACAGG